ACUCCUACGGAGGCGAGCAGUGGGAAUAUUGCACAAUGGCGCAAGCCUGAUGCAGCCAUGCCGCGUGUGUGAAGAAGGCCUUCGGGUUGUAAAGCACUUUCAGUCGUGAGGAAGGUAGUGUAGUUAAUAGCUGCAUUAUUUGACGUUAGCGACAGAAGAAGCACCGGCUAACUCCGUGCCAGCAGCCGCGGUAAUACGGAGGGUGCGAGCGUUAAUCGGAAUUACUGGGCGUAAAGCGCAUGCAGGUGGUUUGUUAAGUCAGAUGUGAAAGCCCGGGGCUCAACCUCGGAAUUGCAUUUGAAACUGGCAGACUAGAGUACUGUAGAGGGGGUGAGAAUUGUCAGGUGUAGCGGUGAAAUGCGUAGAGAUCUG
rnacentral:rRNA from 1 species